GACAGAGGGGGCAAGCGUUGCUCGGAAUUACUGGGCGUAAAGGGCGCGUAGGCGGAAUGGCAAGUCGGUCGUGAAAUCCUUCGGCUCAACCGAAGAACGUCGAAUCGAAACUGCCGUUCUUGAGGAUUGCAGAGGAGACUGGAAUUCCCGGUGUAGCGGUGAAAUGUGUAGAGAUCGGGAGGAACACCGGUGGCGAAGGCGGGUCUCUGGGCAAUUCCUGACGGCUGAGGCGCGAAAGCGUGGGGAGCAAACGGG
rnacentral:rRNA from 1 species